rnacentral:tRNA from 1 species
GCCUGAGUGGCUCAGUCGGUUAAGCGUCUGACUUGAUUUUGGCUCAGGUCCUGAUCUCAGGGUUUGUGAGUUCAAGCCCCGCAUCAGGCU